ensembl:lncRNA
GACAGCUACAAACUAAAUGUUAAAUCCUACCACCUGUUAAGUUUGUAGAGAGAGGACAAAGGAAAGGUGAAGGAGAGAGGUCUCAUGGUCAAAACUGCCUAUGAGGGAAGAGAGGGACAAUACCCAACUUCUGUCUCAGCCAGCAUAGGUGGAAAAGUAGUGAUAUGACAAGGAACGUACCAUUUAAAAAAAAAUCACAACAUGGGGUGUGCUUUCAGGGACGCUCCUAAGGCUACCUAGUAAGAGGUAAAUGACAAAAUAGCAGACACCCUCAAACAUGCACCAGCUUGGCUCAAGUGUAAGCAAAAGGAGCGGGUUGAGCAGGCGACAGUGGAUGAGGAUGGAGCAGCAGCACCUCGGAGCAGAGCAGAACAGAGCCAUUGGUUUGAGGCUAUGGAGACAGUACAGUGCACCACAGCAGAGGGAGUUCAGGAGAGUCCUCAGGGACCUCAAGAUUGAGCUCAGGGGGCUCAAGAGGAGUCAUGAGAGGAGACAAACAAUGCUGCAAUGCCGGGUCUCUGUACCUUCUUGCUAAAUGCAAGUAAAAUAUGUUUCCUAUAGCUAUGUCUAUUGGGUGGACUCAUUCUGUCAUGGGAGGAGGCUGUAUUGUGUGCUGGCAGACAGUGAACUAAAGAAAAAGUACAUUGUAAAGAAGAAAUUCCCUUCACCUAUUUACACCACCUACUGUAUUGUCAGUUCCAAGGCAUGGGAGUCUCUGUUGGAAAUGUUCAAGUAUCCCACAUAUUGGCCAUCAUGUUCAAGUUAGCUAUGGAAUGGAUUAUGCCCAAUGUUAAUUUUUAAUGAUGGAUGUAUAUGUGAUGCAUGGAUUAUUCUUGGAAAUGUAUACGUGAUCUGGGAAUAAUCUGGCAAAAAAACUAUCUUCAGUGAUUGUUCACUGAGUUCACCCCUCUACUGUGGAGUGACAUUGACAGGGUUGGGAAUCAUGCCACAUGUUUUGUAUUUUCUAUCUGUGGAUCUGAAAGAUUGUCUGUCAACUGCUGUUUGGAACAGUGUGUCCCCUGGUACUUUCACUUACCGGUCUUUAAAUAAACUAUAUGGCUGUCCAUUACAGACGCAUCAGUGCUUAUAGGAUUCACUGGCUUGGGCAGAUAAAUGUCUCAACUUCAAUCAAAGCAAGUGUAUCGCUCAAGAUGAAAUUACACCGUUCAGAGGAUUGCAUUGAACUCCUCGAUACUUUUCUCAGUUGAAUGGUCGGACUGUCAUUUUUGUUGACAGCUUAUACAUUCCAUUAUCUGUUUGCAUCACUAUUAGUUUGCAUAACAGCGGAUGAACUUGUCCUAAAUACACUUGAUUUAUUGAAAAUGUUUGGCUUUCAGAUUGAGACUUAUUGAAGCAAAUAACAGGCCAGAUGUUCAAGUAAAAAUGCUGUCAGAUAUUCAUCUAUUUUUACACAAUUGUUCCCUACGGCAAGGAGGGAAGUCCUGCUUUUAGGGAUCUUGAGUAGUUUGUCAGUAUAGUUUUGCUCUGACCUUGAUGCACUCAUCUUGACAAUGCGUGUUUCCAUGUGUUUAUGUUGAAAAACAUGUGUGUUUGUAUGAAAACAUGUAGCCUGUAACAUUCUGUUAGUCGUCUAUUUAUAUGUUAAUUAAAACUUGAACACUUUCAGUCUAUUGAAUAAAUGAACAUUU